AUUGAACGCUGGCGGCAGGCCUUACACAUGCAAGUCGAGCGGCAGCAGGGGGGUUACCCCUGGGUUGCGAGUGGCGAGCGGGUGUGAAAUAUAUCGGAACGUGUCCUGGUGGGGGGUAUAACCUGUCGAAAGGUGGUCUAAUACCACAUGCGCCGUGCGGGUAAAAGCGGGGGCCCCCAAGGCUUCGCUCUAUGAGAGCGGUAGAUCGGAUAAGCUAGUUGGCGGGGUAAAGGCCCACCAAGGCGACGAUCCGUAGCUGGUCUGAGAGGAUGAUCAGCCACACUGGAACUGAGACACGGUCCAGACUCCUACGGGAGGCAGCAGUGGGGAAUUUUGGACAAUGGGCGAAAGCCUGAUCCAGCCAUGCCGCGUGAGUGAAGAAGGCCUUCGGGUUGUAAAGCUCUUUAGGCGGGGACGAAACGGUUCGUGCUAAUACCACGGACUACUGACGGUACCCGCAGAAGAAGCACCGGCUAACUACGUG
rnacentral:rRNA from 1 species